rnacentral:tRNA from 1 species
GAAGAAGAUUACAUUAAAAGCAAGUUGACUGGCAGUCAAGAGGUCGUGGGUUCGACUCCCAUCUUCUCCA